CGCUGCGUGCUCCGUGCGCGCGGCCCCGCCCUCGAGGCCUCCUGCGCUGCAGCCUCCCGGGCUCCCGCCGUGCGUUCCCAGAGCGCGGCCUUUGUUGGUCUUUCUGAAGAAAACGCACAUCCAGGAAGGAGAGCCUGUAGCGAAACUGAGUUCUGUUAGGCGCGGUCGUCGCGGGCCUGGCAAUGCCGUGCGAGCCAUCGAGACGUAUUUCCUUUAGGCGUCCACCGUGGCGGCCACACGGCGCGGCUCUCCUCGGCUGCUCCGUGCAAUGCCGCAGCGAGCGUGGGAGCGAGUGCGGGCAUCUCGCAGACACCGGCUUCAUUUCCUUUGCGUAUUUACCCAGAAGUAGGACUGCUGAGGCACAUGAAGAAGAGAUUGUGCCCAGACACACGCAGAGGGAAGACUAUGCAAGGACACGGGGAGAAGGCAGCCAUCUCUCUACAAGAGAAAGGCCUCAGAAGGAACCUGCCCUGGUGACCCCUGGAUCUCAGGCUUUCAGCCUCCAGGAAUGUGAGAGAAUCUGUUUCGGUUAAGCCAGCCUGUCUGCAGUGGCAGCUGGAACAAACUAAGAUGGGUGGUGGCGGGGGGGCUCGGCUGUGUUGGUGGGGCUGAGCUGCCUGGCCUAGUGGGGGACCAAGGACCAGGCUGGUAAGGCCAGGCAGCACCAUGAGGAGCCCUGGGUGCAGGUGUGAGCCCCAGGAUGUUUGUAGUUUAUUUUCUAGAUGGUGCUUUCAUUAUCCUCACACUGUCGGGACAGUUCUGUUAAGUGUCACUGCCUGGCCUCUGCUUUGUGUGGAACAUGGAAAAGGUCCUCGCUGAGGGGCCCGGAGGGCAGUUCUGCCACAGAACCUCAAGUCCAGAAUCAGGAAGGGGCAAGAGCGUGCCCACUGGCAGGGGCAGCCUCCUUAGGGCCUCAGGAAUAGCUGGGGGGUCCUUUGAGAACCAGUUUCCUUCAGUGAUGCUGGUGCACACUUUCACCACUUCCACUUGGAUUACAGGUAGAAAAGAAAUGUUUCUAGCCAUGCCAAUUUUGGGGAAGUGAUUUAAACUCUCUGGUCCUGUUUUUUGACUGUGAAAUAGGGCUAAGCGUCCCUUUAUAGAGCAUUAUAAGGAUUAAGUGAGACAACGUAUAGAAAGGCUAUAGAAGUAGAUCUUACUUUCUCUUCUUCAUCAAGUGUUUCUUGAGCACCUGCUAUGUGCCAGAUACCAUAUUAUGCUUUGAGAAUAUAAUAGAAAAUAAGAAAAAAUUGUCCCUGUCCCACAGAACUUAUAUUGUAGAGAGAGAGCAACUGUAAAGGAAACAGAUGUGAAAAGUGGCUCUCGAAGAAAGAGGAGUCCAGGCUGUUGCAAAGUCAAGCUAAAGAGGGGAAAGGACCUAUGGGCAGGUGCUUGCAUUUCACUCAGCAGACCCCCGUGAGGAGCCUUGGACUAAGGACACAUUGCAAGGGCUGAUGCUUCCUGGAGAAUGGGCUGGAAAAAUCUGCUUGUUGGCCCAGGGAAAUAAUUAGGAAGCUUAUUUAUGCCCAGGAUUCUGAGAGAAGAAAAAAAAAGUCUAAAAAUAAAAUGAGUCUGGCGGCUCCUCCAAAUGUUAAACACAGAAUUGCCAUAUGACCCAGCAACUCCACUCGGAGGCAUAGGCUUCAAAACCUUGGAAGAAGGGUCUCGAGCCGGUCCCUGUACAGUGUCCCCAGCAGCUCUGUUCAUAACAGCCCAAAGGUGGGAACAGCCCAUCGGCAGAUGACUGAAUCAGCAACGUGUGGUAGAAGCACACAUUACUGAACCUUAACACGGAUACGAUCCUAGUACAUGGACAAUGGGAAGGAACCUGGAAGACAUCGUGCUAAGUGACAUGAACCAGACACAAAAGGGCAAAUACUGCAUGAUCGCACUUACACGAGCUACGCACACUAGUCCAGUUCUCAGCAGUAGAAAGUAGAACAGGGGUUAUGGGCGUGGGGGCGGGUGGGGCGUUCCUGUUUACUGGGUCCAGAGUUUCUAUUUGGGAUGAUGAAAAGCUCUGGAAAUGGACAGUGCCCAUGGCUAAUGCUGCUAACUCAUGCACUUUAAAACAUAAGAAAAAAAUGGAAAAUGUGUAUUUUACCAUGAUCAUGUAUAUUUUACCAUGAUAAAAAAGAAAGUUAUUUGCCCCAGCUAGGAGACCUACGGGGGCUGAGUGCUCAGCCUGGCACCCAGGGGUCCCCCUCUCUCGGGAGAGCGCGUGCUGCUCACGGUGGCUGGAAGUUAAUGGGAGCCCCGGGACCAACCACAGGAGGAAGACAGCACCGCGCCUCUCCUCUUCCAUUUAUUGCUCACCCCUGUUUCUUGCACCUGGGUUUCCUGUCUCCCCGUCUUCCCUCUAAAUCAUACUUGCUCUUGUUGGGUUUCAAGGAGUGAGUCACUGAGCCUCUCUGUUGCUGGCAUGUGCCCUAGGGCCAGGCUGUGUGGAAUCCCAUCUCAGCUCUGCCACUUACUGGGGGGCUACUCUGGGGCAGGUCUCUUUAGCUCUCUGCCCUUGUCCCACCUGGGAGAAGGGAUUCAAGCAGGGGUGGUUGUGGAAAUAAAGUGAAAUUGCACAUGGGGUGUGUGCCUGGAGCAGCGGCUGGCACCCGAAGCCUGGGUGGCUGUUUUCUUUGUGAGCGCACUGCAGGGCUGAGGGAGGGUCUGUGGCCAGCAUUCAAGCUUGGUGAACUCUUGGAAUCCUUUUGCAGGAUUCUUAAAGCCCCAGGACUCUUCUAGAAUCCAUCAGAGCCAGGAAGAAAGAAACAUUGCCCAUGCAAAUCCUUACUUACUUGGUGAUGUGGAAUGAUCUCUUCGUUUCUGUGGGACGUGGUUUAUAUGUGACUGGGCUGUGAUCAGUGUCGUCUAAAAAUCACUUGUGGUGUGCUCACAAGGGUCCCCGCGCAUAAUCUAAGGGAGUCUCCUUUCAUUCAGCCGCGCUGCCCCCUGUGGGCAGUCUGCACACUGCAGCCCAGGUCACUCUGGAGCCCGCAGCAGGGCGGGGAGGCUUGCAGAGGCCUGAUGGUAUUAUGUUUCCCCUGACAUAAGCCCACUCCUGAUUCUGUUCCCUCUGUUCUCUGUGAAUGGAUUUGUGAGAUACUUACAGCACUCCUGUUCCCAUGAAAUGAGGCUUAACAAAAAGAAAAGAAAAAGGCAGCAGGCCUCUGAUAACCCAAGGAGACACAGCCCCCAUGUGUGACUCCGGGCAGGUUGUGGGUCUCAACCAGCAAACAGGCUCCUAGAGGCCUGGGAUAUGCUGUCUCCUGAAGAACAUCCCUUCUCCACACUUUCUGAACCAACGACUCAAAA